AAUCUCAGAGGUCAUCACAUACAUCACAUUUAUUGAGUUAAGAACAAUCUCAGAGGCCAGCACCACUGAAAGAUCCAAGACAGCAAUCUCAUCCCGCUAUAAUGGUUAAAAUGAAUUCAGCAUAUUGAGUCUCAAUAUAAGGUAGACGGAAAUGACAAUGAUGACAGUUUGUUUAUCCUUUUUCUAGGUAGUGUAUCCCUUUUCUAGGUAAAUAACAAACUCAUUAGUUUCAGGAGAUCAAAAGCAAGAGCCAUGAUAUAAUGAGUUCCUUAAACAAGGUGGCAUCUAUCAAAGAACCAUUAGACCUGAAAGCUUAACUGGUUAUCUAAGAUCAAACAAAUAAAAAAAAGGG